CUACGGGAGGCUCCAGUGGGGAAUAUUGCACAAUGGGCGAAAGCCUGAUGCAGCAACGCCGCGUGAGUGAUGAAGGUCUUCGGAUUGUAAAGCUCUGUUCUUGGGGAAGAAUAAAUGACGGUACCCAAGGAGAAAGCCCCGGCUAACUACGUGCCAGCAGCCGCGGUAAUACGUAGGGGGCAAGCGUUAUCCGGAAUCACUGGGCGUAAAGGGUGCGUAGGCGGCUUAGCAAGUCAGAAGUGAAAGGCAUUGGCUCAACCAAUGUAAGCUUUUGAAACUGUUAGGCUUGAGUGCAGGAGAGGAAAGUGGAAUUCCUAGUGUAGCGGUGAAAUGCGUAGAUAUUAGGAGGAACACCAGUGGCGAAGGCGACUUUCUGGACUGUAACUGACGCUGAGGCACGAAAGCGUGGGGAGCGAACAGGAUUAGAUACCCUAGUAGUC
rnacentral:rRNA from 1 species